GAACGCUGGCGGCGUGCCUAAUACAUGCAAGUCGAACGGUCUUUCUAUGGAAGCUUGCUUCCACUGAGAAGAUAGUGGCGAACGGGUGAGUAACACGUGGGUAACCUGCCCAUAAGAGGGGGAGUAACAUCCGGAAACGGGUGCUAAUACCGCAUAGUUUUCUUGAUCGCAUGAUCGGGAAAGGAAAGACGGCCUUUGUGCUGUCGCUUAUGGAUGGACCCGCGGCGUAUUAGUUAGUUGGUGAGGUAACGGCUCACCAAGACGAUGAUACGUAGCCGACCUGAGAGGGUGAUCGGCCACAUUGGGACUGAGACACGGCCCAAACUCCUACGGGAGGCAGCAGUAGGGAAUCUUCCGCAAUGGACGAAAGUCUGACGGAGCAACGCCGCGUGAGUGAAGAAGGUUUUCGGGAAUCGUAAAACUCUGUUGUCAGAGAAGAACAAGUUGGAGAGUAACUGCUCCAGCCUUGACGGUAUCUGACCAGAAAGCCACGGCUAACUACGUGCCAGCAGCAGC
rnacentral:rRNA from 1 species